UACGAGGGGGGCAAAUGUUGUUCGGAAUCACUGGGCGUAAAGGGAGCGUAGGCGGGUUCUUAAGUUAGGUGUUUAAUCCCGGGGCCCAACCCCGGACCGGCACUUAAAACUGGGAAUCUUGAAUAGUGGAGAGGUCAGUGGAAUUGGGGGUGUAGCGGUGGAAUGCGUAGAUAUCGGGAGGAACACCAGUAGCGAAGGCGGCUCGCUGGGCCACACCUGACGCUGAGACGCGAAAGCUAGGGGAGCGAACAGG
rnacentral:rRNA from 1 species